rnacentral:lncRNA from 1 species
CACGUGCCGCUGGCGUCCCUUGGGGUUAUCCUGCGCUUGGAAGAAGAAGUAGAAAAAGGAAAAAAAUAUAGUGAUAGUUUUAUUCUUCGUCGCCGUAAAUAGGAAUAUUUAAUGAUGAACCUCUAGGUGCAGUUAUCGUAUGAUACAGUCCUUCUAUCGUGGAUCCCUACAGGACGGAGGUCAUGGAAAACUCGUCAAACCCCAUCAUCUGUCAUAUGUCGAAUUUAUUCGACAUGAGUUCGAGAGUAG